UUUCCGUAGGUGAACCUGCGGAAGGAUCAUUACAAGUGACCCCGGUCUUACCACCGGGAUGUUCAUAACCCUUUGUUGUCCGACUCUGUUGCCUCCGGGGCGACCCUGCCUUCGGGCGGGGGCUCCGGGUGGACACUUCAAACCCUUGCGUAACUUUGCAGUCUGAGUAAACUUAAUUAAUAAAUUAAAACUUUUAACAACGGAUCUCUUGGUUCUG
rnacentral:misc_RNA from 1 species